AACCGUCAUCGUUCCAAAAAGAGUGAGACUCGAGAGCUUAUCGGCACCAAACACAAUUUAUGCAGAGGGGUCAGAUAGCUACACGUUGCAUCGAUUCUACGAAGGGGCAUACGAGCUUCUUCUUUCGGCCUCGGCCUGGUGUAUCGGUCAGUAUUUCGUAUCAACAAUAAUACGAUCACUGUGCCAACUUUUCUCUCUCUGUACUUCGAUGUGGAAGUUCAUUCGGUGCAUGGGAAGGCCUGUCCGUGCAGAAACUACGUAUUGAUCAUUCUUCUUUCAAACCACGAUGGAGUUAAAUUUAUCCGCCUAAGUUAGCAGAUGCCUGUGCCUAUCCGAGCAGUGAGUGUCGAGAGUGAGGGAACAAUCUGUUGGACACGCUUUACAACUGUUUCGUAGAAGGCCUCGUCUUCUGGAGCAUGUGACAAACAUUCGCGCAGUCCGAGAACAAUUAAAAGGCAAAAACAAGACCGCCGAAAGCGAAAUAGUUUAAGGGGUACGAUGGCGUGCGCGACAACAGUAGCUACUACUACGGCUAGCACCAGAAUUAUUAUUAUUGUCACUGAAAGCUUAUUUUCUCCAACACGGCGUCUACAAGGACAAUUUAGAGGCAUUGUUUGUAAUAAGUUGCGAAUCUCUUGUCGUAGACGGUUUUUGCAAUGAAACUUGUUGGAGAGGGACGUCCAGUGGUGACUGUUGUUGUGUACCUUGCUAAUUCCCAAACAAACUAAUCAAAUAUAAUAGGAAAAGAGGGAAGUUUAUCCUAUGUGCUAACGUGGACUAGUGAGCUUGGUGGAUACUCACGGGACGUUCGGUACUUCAAUGGUGAGUUUCCAUCAAGCGUUUCAUCUAGGAAGCUUGCUCCGCACUUUCCUUCAAAUAAACAAUGUCAUUGUAAUGAGUUCUGUCGUAAUUUUGCUUGUUUUUCUCGACGAUUAAAGGAGACACGGUUACAGAUAUGUGAAAGCUGUACACAGCUACGGAGAACCUAGAGUUUCUAAUCGAUCUAUUUGAAGCAUGGAUUGUUUAAAAAGGAUUGCCAGAGUAUAGCCACAUACGAGAUAUUUGAAAGAAGAUCCUAACAGCACCAUGAGGAUAGCCAUGAGGUGUAGGGGCUGAGUCUGGCUUAUACGAGGACCGGCUCAAGGCUGGCCCAGGAGAUCCGCUACUAGUGGCUUAGCCAUAGGCUGCGGACCACAGCCGCGGCAGUGGCGCACGGUUAAAGGCGAAUCUGCAAAAAGCGGUAAAUGAUUCAAGUGGAAAAUGCUG